rnacentral:misc_RNA from 1 species
GUGUGGCGCGAAUCAAACGGGUGUGAACUCGUGCGGAUACCUGUCGUUGAUUAAUAUGCGUAAACAGUUUUAAUUAAAACUUUAAGAAGAUAUCAUUAGUUCAGAUAUUGAAGAGUAAAACGUUAAAAAAAUGUCACUUACAGAAAUGGAGCCGCUUAAAAUACAUUUAGAUGCUUUAGAAAUGGCUGGGAAAAUGGUUGAUAAACAUAUCACUGCAGAUAGUAAUUUUCCAUCUUUAAUUAAUUUAAUGCGAUGCAAUAUUCAAGGUGGACCAACUGUUAGUGGUCUUGACGAUCAUGAUUAUCCAAGUUUAAACGGAUCAUCAAUAAAUUUGACAAAUAUAAAUCAAAUGAAAAUACACAGUAAAAUUCCUUUGCCAUCUGAAGUUAUGGAACAUUUUGGCCAUAUGCAAUGUCAUUGUAUGAUGGGUUUAUUCACAGAAAUUUCGAAAGCAUGGCUUACGAUUGACAGCGAUAUUUAUGUGUGGUCAUAUGAAAACGAAGCUGAUGUCGCAUACUUUGAUGGAUUGAACGAGACUAUUAUAAGCGUUGGCUUAACCAAACCAAAACCAGGCAUAUUUCAAGGGUAUGUCAAAUAUCUAUUAAUUUUGACUACAACAGUUGAAAUAACUAUACUGGCAGUAAUACUGAAUGAGAAUGAUAAUGAUAAAUCAAUAGAAAUGCAAUUGGUACCAGAACCCAUUUUUACUGUCUCUACUGAUGGUAUUGGUAUAACCACCAUUGCCAAUACGAAUAAUGGUAGAAUUUUUCUUGGUGGUAGAGAUGGCUCAUUAUUUGAAAUAUGUUAUCAGGCAGAAAGUAGUUGGUUUAGUAAACGUUGUAAAAAAGUUAAUCAUUCUGAAGGGCCAUUAUCGUUUGUAAUACCUUCAUUUGUAACUAUGGCUUUAUCUGAAGAAGAAGCAAUAAUACAAAUUUCCAUAGAUGAUUCUCGUAAUAUUUUAUAUACUUUAGGAGACAAAGGUACUAUUACCGUUUGGGAUAUUGAUAAUGGUGGUGCAUCCAAAGUUACAUCAUUUUCUCAAAGUUCACUAGUUCAAAAUACUGUUCAUGUUGUCAAAACUCUUGAUAGUAAUAAUUUUCGACCUCUGGUGAGCAUAUCUGCUAUAACAGAAAGUGAAUCGAUACAUUUGAAUUUGGUUGUGGUGGCAGCUACUGGAACACGCUUUUAUUUCUGCUGCACACCACCUUCAAAUCCAUCGAGUAGACCGCAAGGACUUCAAUUAAUACAUGUCAGAUUGCCACCAGGCUAUGCUGCCAAUGCUCCAGUAACAAGACCCAAGAAGGUUCAAAUGGCGCAUUACAGAAAAGGAACAUUAAUACUUGUCUGCGGUGGUGAUACAGAAAGUGCAUGGUGUUUAAGUAACGAUGCAUAUCCUUUCACAAAUUAUUUAGCUGAAACUCAAAGUAUCCUACCUCUUGAUAGUCCCGUGUGGGCAAUGGCAGAAAUUAUUGGAGAAUCGGCUAUGCAUAUGGAAAAACUAAGCACUACACAAGGAGAACCACCUCUUCUUGUUAGACAACACAUGGAGCCACCUAGAAAGUUUAUAUUUUUAACAACUCAGGGUGCAAUAAUUUUAAUUCAAGUACGUCCUGUAGACAUUUUAAGGCAACUUUUGUUAGAACAACGUGGACCUGAUACAGAAUCAGUUCGAGCUUAUUUUCAAUCGCAAUCUCCAGAACAAGCAUGUGCAACAUGUUUAAUUUUAGCUACAUUAGAAUCUUCUCAAAACACUCAGUUAUGUGAAUGGGCAGCAAGAGCCUUUUUCUUAUAUGGUGGACAAAAAGUAUCAGGGAUUAUUCCUACAAUUGAUAGGCAUAGCAAUUUUCCUAAUAUACAUACAGCAGGAGACCUACGUUCAUCAACACCUAGAGUACAAAUUUUUGAUACAAGAUCUCAAGCAUUUAGGCAACAACCACAAGUGGGUCUAAAUUCUGAUGUUACUUUGCAACAAUUUUCAGCAAAGCACGGAGGUUUAUAUUUGUAUGUAGGAAGAAUACUUCGACCUAUAUGGAAUCUGCGUUGUAUAAAACAAGAACUUGUAAACAAUAAAACUCAGAUAUCUAGUACAAUUCCACCUAAUCAAAUUAGAUGGAUAUUGAAUCAUCUACAAGCUUUAAGGUUUUUUCUUAACAAAAAUACAAAUAUUACUAAGCAACAUAAUAGUGCAAGAAGUAUCACGGAUGAAUUUGAAACAACGUUACCUAAUCUUUAUCAAGAACCUAUUGUAGAGGAAAGAAAUUCCUUGGAUGCUCUAAAAGUUUUUAUUACUCAUGCUUGUGAGGUGUUAGGUUUAUGGGAAAUUUUAUGCGAAAACCAAUUAAAUAAUAUUAUUAAUUGUCUUUCUAAGGAUCAAAUUAGUCAAUUUUCUACGGCCACAUUUAGGGAUUUAAUCUUAAUUGGACAUGAAAUAUCAUCUUUACUUAUCAUUCAUUUAAUUGAUAGUUAUCUUGGCGACAAUGCAUCUGUAGAUGCAGUAAGUUCCAGAUUAAGAGAGGUUUGUCCAAAUUUGUAUAGAAGUGAAGAUGCAGUAUGUUCAAAGGCAAAUGAAAUAAUAUUGAAAGCAAAGAAUUGUAAAAAUUCAGAUGAGAAACAAGUUUAUUUGCAAUCUGCAUUAAAGCUUUGUAAAGAAGUGGCACCAAGAUUAAAUUUGAGUGCCGUGUGUCAGCAAUUUGUGGCUUGCCAGUUUUAUACAGGAGUUCUAGAAUUGUGUAUUUGCUGUGCAAAAAGAAUAGAUCCUCAUAAUGCUGCAUUACAUUUUUAUAAAAAUAAUGAACCUGUAGAAGAUCAAGAAGGAAAUAUGGCUUAUAUAAAACGAUUAGAAAUUUACAAAGAAUUUACUUCAAUGUUGGAUCACAUUUUUAAUCAGAACAUGUCAAGUCCGUUAACACCAACUAUACCAAGUAAACCGGGACCAGCUCUACAUAAUACUUCUGCUGUACCAAUAAUACUUACAAAAGACAUAUUAUAUGAGAUUAUAAAUGAUGCAUUACAUUCCCCUUGUGAAAUACUUCAUACUGCGGUAUAUAUAUGGAUGAUUGAAAGAGGGCUACAUGGAGAACUUGUUGCUCUUGCAGCAUCUUCAUUAGAAACUUAUUUGAGUCGUGUUAAUGCACCCGAAUUACUUUGGCAAUUUUAUGAAAGAAAUAAAAAUCAUGCUGCUGCGGCAAAAAUUUUAGAUUCUUUGGCUACUAAACCUUCUUCAGAGAUAUCAUUGUCAGAAAGAGUAGAAUAUUUAGCACGUGCAGUUGUUUGUAUGCGAAGUGAUCAAGCCGGUUAUGCACCUUAUCUUGGAAUUUUCUUGCGUGAAUUAGAAGAUAAAUUAGAGGUUGCUAGGAUACAACAACAAAUACUAGAUACGAUCUGUAGUCAGCAACAUAUUUUCGAUCCUGUGACUGUCCGUGAUGCUAAGUUAAAAUUGAAUUCUUCGUUACUCGAUAUUACACAGCUUUAUGAGGAAUAUGCAGAACCUUUAGAACUUUUAGAAUGUAAACUUGCUAUAAUUCAUUGCUCCGGACAUCAAGAUGCAAUGUUAAUUCAAGGAAUUUGGACCAAUAUAAUCAACAAUGAAUUAAAAAAUGCUGAAGCAUCAUCUCCAGAAGAUAAAAUGGCGAUUCUAAUGACCAAAGUUAAACUUCUUGGUCAAGAAUAUUCAGGAUCACCACAUUGUUUUCCGAUAGAGUUCUUAAUAGAACAAUUGGAAAUAAAAGCAUGUAAAUUAAAAACUUCCAAUAAUUGUAUUAUUACAGUAUUUUUAAAGUUAGGUGUAUCGAUGGAAGAUCUUUUAGAUUACUAUGAUAAGAUGAUUGGAAAAAAUACACGUAUUUGGUUAAACAAAGGAAAUGAAUUCCAUUUAAUAGAUUCCACUGCAAAUUUAAUCAAUUACAUUAUCCAAAAUCAAAACAUUACUAAUUCUUUUAACAGAGAAAAACUAAUAGUUAAGUGCCAAGAUGUUGUCUCUAAGUGUCUAACAAUUUUAUUUAGUAAACCUAAUAGUGAACAUCUAAUAGCAAAACUUAGAUCGAUGCGAAUGUAAAAUUGAUAAAUAAUUCACAGAUACAGAAAUCUAUUAUCCUAUAUUAACCUAGAAUCCUACUUCCUAAGGAAGAAUGCUAUGGCAAAAGAAAAAGAUCAUGAGUUAAAAGCAUUUUGUGUAUUCGAGUAAAUCAACGAUAACGAGAAACAUUUGAAAGUGUUCUAAGAAGAAAGAAAUACUAGAAAAUCCUACUGUCUCAUAACUAUGAAUUAUUUUCAAGAAGAAAAACACCCAUAAAUGACCACAUCGAAAUAUGAAAAUAAUAUGUAAUAAUAUCGUAGCUUAAAAUAUUACAUGACAAAUGUGAUUGAUAUACAAGGUUUUUUUUAUGUAACAGAGAAAUGAUCUAAAUAUAACUUCGAUUUAACUGUU